rnacentral:misc_RNA from 1 species
GAUGAAGAACGCAGCGAAAUGCGAUAAGUAAUGUGAAUUGCAGAAUUCAGUGAAUCAUCGAAUCUUUGAACGCACAUCGCGCCCGCCAGUAUUCUGGCGGGCAUGCCUGUUCGAGCGUCAUUUCAACCAUCAAGCCCCAGGCUUGUGUUGGAGCCCUGCGGCUGCCGCAGCCUCCCAAAACCAGUGGCGGGCUCGCUAUCACACCGAGUGCAGUAGUUUACUCUUCGCUCAGGGCGUGUGGCGGGUGCUAGCCGUAAAACCCCCAACUUCUCAAGGUUGACCUCGGAUCAGGUAGGAAUACCCGCUGAACUUAAGCAUAUCAAUAAGCGGAGGA